AACCUUAGUAAAUAAUUUGUAUUGCCAUAAUUAAAUAACAGUAUUUCUUUUAAAAAAUAGAAAUAGACCCAGAAUUAUGUUGUGCCUUAAACUUUUAGAUAUAGCCUAUAUCAAAAAAGCUAUAAUAUUAACUAUGAUUUUUUUUUUUAAACACUAAUAGUAAAAAUACUGCACAUUUUUCACAUUGUAUAAAGAUAUGAAUUUUUGAAUUACAUUUUUUUGUUUGAAACAUAUUUCUAAAUUUCUAAUAGAUUUUCUAAACAUCUAAAUUUAAAAUAAAAUAUGAUGAUGCAUGAAUUUGAAUUAUCUUGACUACAUGGAAAAAAUACAGUUAACACUUUACUUGCUAAAG